GCUUCAAUACAAUUAAUGGGAGAUCUUAAGCAGGAGUGACCCGAUUAGUUCUGUUUCUGAAGCUUCUGAGACUGUGGUGAAAAAAUUGUAAAGGACACAGAAAAGUAGGUGUUACUGAGCUCACUUAAGAAGGUAUUUCAGGAAUUUCAGGGUAUUUUGAGACUGGAAUAAGGUGAUUUGGUGAAAUGCAGAUAUUUCACGAAAAACAGUUGGGAAUCCACUGCUUAUUGAUACUCAGCACACAGAAGCACAGGGCUUCCUAAACAUUAGCUAACCCCCAAAACCUCACAACACAAGCCAAAAUAUGAGGUUAAAUAAUAUACCCAGUAUUACGGUGCCAAUAAAUGUACCACAUGUGUCUCACCUCAAAGAAGAGCACUAAACAAGAAUUUAUGAGUGGAUCAGCUUUGGUCUGCCAACCAAAGACACUAAACUGUACAACUCAGAAAUUUUAGUGGCCCAACUACUUAUAAAACCAACCCUUGGCCAGGCGCGAUGG